rnacentral:rRNA from 1 species
AUUGAACGCUGGCGGCAGGCCUAACACAUGCAAGUCGAGCGGAUGAAGGGAGCUUGCUCCUGGAUUCAGCGGCGGACGGGUGAGUAAUGCCUAGGAAUCUGCCUGGUAGUGGGGGAUAACGUCCGGAAACGGGCGCUAAUACCGCAUACGUCCUGAGGGAGAAAGUGGGGGAUCUUCGGACCUCACGCUAUCAGAUGAGCCUAGGUCGGAUUAGCUAGUUGGUGGGGUAAAGACCUACCAAGGCGACGAUCCGUAACUGGUCUGAGAGGAUGAUCAGUCACACUGGAACUGAGACACGGUCCAGACUCCUACGGGAGGCAGCAGUGGGGAAUAUUGGACAAUGGGCGAAAGCCUGAUCCAGCCAUGCCGCGUGUGUGAAGAAGGUCUUCGGAUUGUAAAGCACUUUAAGUUGGGAGGAAGGGCAGUAAGUUAAUACCUUGCUGUUUUGACGUUACCAACAGAAUAAGCACCGGCUAACCUCGUG